rnacentral:lncRNA from 12 species
CCCACAUUGGGAACCUUUGUGUUUCACCGCCCCCCCCCAUCAGCGCCCCAUCGUCGUGGCCAGGGUGGGCCCCAGCAGACCCUGCUGUGCUGGCUCAGGCCGGGUAGGGGCAUGGGCAGUGGGCUCGGCAGGUGCUCCUGCACUCGCCUUCUGGGUGGGGGGGAGGUUCUCUGCACGAGGAAGUGUUGAGGCCCCAGGGACUGAGCCGGUUCCGCUCCCAACGUUCUCCGGGAAUUUACCUUGACCGCCAAGACCUGAAGCAGAGCCAGGUGCCCCCCCCUCCAAGGUGCAGAGGGUGGCAAGGAAAACAAAUCGCUGAAUGGAUGAGGCUGUGGCCUGAACGGACAAGCCCUGCAGCUCCCUCCCCCCUCCUUCCGGGCUCCCCAGGUGUCUCAGGCUCGGGGCCUAGGGGAGCCACCACGCCUCUGGCGGGGCGUUCCUUGGGUUCAUCGUGGGUGGGAGUGAAGUGACCGUCAUUGACCAGUAACUAAACCUAUUCUAGCAACCUCCAGAUAUUAACUAAAACUGCACAAAAGAUCAGAGAAUUUCUCUUUGAAGGCUGGAAGACAGAAAAUGUAUGUCUUCUGCUGCAGGAACAGAGAGAAGUCACCUUAAAUCAUCGCAGCGCCCGUUGGACUCUGUUCUGCAGUCCUCCAGAAGAGGCUCCCGACCUCUCCCUACAACACCCCCCCAGAGCAGAUCCAGGGCUCCCGAUGAUUUCCAGUUCACAGGUGGGGCCAGAGCCCUCACGGAGCUGGGGCUCCAGGCCGGCAGCCCCCCGCCUCCCUGCGCCCCCGAGCCCCCCAGGCCGCUCGGGCACCUGCUGGGGGCAAAGGUCCCAGCUCUGGAGGCGGCAGGCCGGCCUGGCACCCACCGCACCCAAGCUGCCCAUCCCACUCUGGGCCCCUCAGGACCCCCCAGCUUGGAGCCACCUCCCUCCCGCCGAAGCCCCCCCAGACAGAAGGGGAGCCGACUACUCCAGAGGCCGAUGCUGAGCCCAGGGCUCCACCUUUUCUGCAGUGGGUCCGGCCCUCAUCGUGAAUUCACCUGAUGUAUCUUCAUCCUUGAGAGGGGACAGCAAGGGUCUGGGGCACAAUUAGGAUGCUCUUCCUCAUGGUGGGAGGACCGGGGAAUGAAAUGCUGUCAUCAUUCCUGCACAAGUGGGCACCACCCUCUUGAGAACAGGGGGGUCCCGCAAACCCAGGGCAGGCCGCAAAGACCGACGGAUGGAUGAUGUGAGCUGCUAGGGACGGGGCCUCUUCAAGGGACCUGAUUACGAGAGUCCUAAUUAAAAAAAUCGUUAAAACUCAGAAUUUUCCUUUAAAAAAAAGAUAUUUAUUUAUUUAUUUAUUUAUUUAUUUAUUUAUUUAUUUAUUUAUGAGAGACACACAGAGAGAAGCAGAGACGCAGGCAGAGGGAGAAGCAGGCUCCACACAAGGAGUCCAACGUGGGACUCGAUCCCAGGACCUGGGAUCACGCCCUGAGCCGAAGGCAAAUGCUCAACCACUGAGCCACCACCCAGGCAUCCCUAAAAUUUCCCAUUUUUAAGAUGAUUUUUUAAAAAAUUUUUUUAAAUGAUUUUAUUUUCUUCCCUGUCCUUAGCUACGCACAUGCUCAUCUCAUGAUUAUCAACAAGCACCAGAGAUCUUUUUCUUGCUUCUGACCCGUAGAGCUUAGUUUCCUAUGGUGCAGUGACAAGGAAAUUGGGGAUUUCUAUAUACUUACAUACAUAUUUAGAUAUUCAAUGCCUGGGUCUUUAUGACCUCAGAAACCUCAGGCAGUUGGAGACCAAUCAGUCUAACUAGUCACAUAUUCAUUUGUUCAUCUAACAAAUAAAUGCUGAGCUCGUGCCCGUGCCA